GAUUUUUUAACUAUACUAAGUAUGUAUUUUGAAAAUACAAAAAAGAAUAUAAUUCUAAAAAUCU
rnacentral:tRNA from 1 species